GUCCAGCUGACGAGUCCCAAAUAGGAGGAAACGCUAGUCCUGGAU
rnacentral:hammerhead_ribozyme from 1 species